ACAUUGGGUUUUGCAAACCACCCAAUGCCCAGAAUGCUAUAAAAAGGCUUACAGCUGUGUGCAACAAAGGUAAGGGAAACAGCAUCUGACCCCAUACCAGAGCAUGGGGAAACCUCUACAGCAGCUGCAGGCACCUCAGGGACAGGACUGUGGGAUCUUCUUGAUCAACGGGUGAUGGAAACAAGAAAAGUGAAGAGUGCCAAUGCCAAUGCAACCAUUGAGAUUCAGCGCUACCUGAGUGAACCCUUAUUUUCUAAGGCUGGUGAAGUGGUCAGCAAGAAGAGAAACAGGAUCAGGCCCAGCACUGUGGAGAAAAUCUUGUUCCUAUAUAAAAAUCUAACCACAGGUUACCCAUAAAUCACUACAAUUAAUUCCCCCAAGUUUAUAGCAACAUUCAUUUCGAAUCACUAUGUAUGCAUUUCUUUGGACACCUGAUUGCUGACUGCUGGAAAAUUGUCCGUAGUGUGUGAUUUCGUGAGUGAAUGAGAGUGUGUGUGUCCUGCGAUGGGUUGGGACUCCGUCCAGAGUGUAUCCUGCCUUGAUGCCCGAUGACAGGCUCCCCAUGACCAGAGUAGUUAGGGUAAGCGAUAGAAAAUGAAUGAAUGAAUGAAUGAAUAAAGCACAAAGCCUUCAACAUUCAUGAGAUUGAUUUUUUUCUAAAAACAGACAAAAUGUCCACAUUCACCAUACAAAAAGUUAUCUUUAUUACAUUUUUGUUUGGAGUUACCUUGCGUAUGCAGUGGAUAAUGCUUUGGUCAUGUAUUUACUAUAUUGAUACGUUUAUUUAUUAAUCUAUCCUUAAUUUGUCAAUCCAUUAAUUUUUGCUUCUAAAAUUAAUACGUUGUUUGGUUGUGGAACUUUCUGUGACAGCGCUUUCACCAGCACAGAUCCUCAUCGAGCUCUGAUGUGAAAAGCUUCGAGUAAUGAACCUUUUUCCGAUACAAUUGGGUUGAAAGUUUCACUGCUUCAAGAAAGCUUCACUUCGCCAUCACUACUGAUUAAUUCGGUACGGGAGUAGAGAUAAAAGCCCCGCCCACACUGACAAUCAAUUGGUUGACUUACAGAAACAGACCAAUCAGGAUGUUCUCUGUCUUACAUGCGCUUAAUGAGGCACGCGCACACUAGCACACGCAAGGUCUCUCGCUCCCCCGCCCUCUCUGUCGCGCAUGCGCACUCUUGCUCGCUCGCUCUAGAUUCCGGGAGAUUGUAAAUAAAUCUAUGUUAAAAACACAUAAUGUCGGUAAACUAUAGUGAUUUUGUACAAACAUUCUGUAUGUUUUGUUCAUGAACAACUGAAGAGAGGAGACUGAAAGGACUGUAUACAAACCUGGUUAAACCUGUUUUACAGGAAGGAGGAGUCGUGUAUCUGAUCACAACAGGUGAUGUGUUGUUUGGUAAUGAGUCGACUCUUUGAAUCGGCUCUUUGGCUGAACGUUGAGAGCUGACUCGCAAAUCUUUCUAAAAAUUAGACUGUGGUUAAUAAUUUACUGAAAUGUAAUUUAUUUUGAUUUGAGGAAAAAGCAGUGUCUAAAUGCUAAAAGAAUGCACGUGACUGAACAAGAUGG